AGAGUUUGAUCCUGGCUCAGAUUGAACGCUGGCGGUAUGCUUAACACAUGCAAGUCGAACGGCAGCACAGGGUGUAGCAAUACACCUAGGUGGCGAGUGGCGGACGGGUGAGUAAUACGUAGGAACCUGUCUUGAGGAGUGGGAUAACACGGGGAAACUCGUGCUAAUACCGCAUAAAGUUGAGAGACCAAAGUGGGGGACCGAAAGGCCUCAUGCCUUAAGAAGGGCUUACGUCGGAUUAGCUAGUUGGUUAGGUAAAGGCUGACCAAGGCGAGGAUCCGUAGCUGGUCUGAGAGGACGAUCAGCCACACUGGGACUGAGACACGGCCCAGACUCCUACGGGAGGCAGCAGUGGGGAAUUUUGGACAAUGGGGGAAACCCUGAUCCAGCAAUACCGCGUGUGUGAAGAAGGCCUGCGGGUUGUAAAGCACUUUAGGUGGGGAGGAAAGUUCAAAGCAUAAUACGCUUUGGGAUUGACGUUACCCACAGAAUAAGCACCGGCUAACUCUGUGCCAGCAGCCGCGGUAAUACAGAGGGUGCAAGCGUUAAUCGGAAUUAUUGGGCGUAAAGCGCAUGUAGGUGGUUUGAUAAGUUUGAUGUGAAAUCCCCGGGCUUAACCUGGGAAUGGCGUUGAAUACUGUGAGACUAGAGUCGGACAGAGGGUCGUGGAAUUUCCGGUGUAGCGGUGAAAUGCGUAGAGAUCGGAAAGAACACCAGUGGCGAAGGCGGCGGCCUGGGUCCAGACUGACACUGAGGUGCGAAAGCAUGGGGAGCAAACAGGAUUAGAUACCCUAGUAGUCC
rnacentral:rRNA from 1 species